rnacentral:rRNA from 1 species
UACAGAGGUGGCAAGCGUUGUUCGGAAUUACUGGGCGUAAAGGGCGCGUAGGCGGCCUUCUGAGUCAGACGUGAAAUCCCCAGGCUUAACUUGGGAACUGCGUCUGAUACUGGGAGGCUUGAGUGCGGGAGAGGGAUGUGGAAUUCCAGGUGUAGCGGUGAAAUGCGUAGAUAUCUGGAGGAACACCGGUGGCGAAGGCGGCAUCCUGGACCGACACUGACGCUGAGGCGCGAAAGCGUGGGGAGCAAACAGG